UACGUAGGUGGCAAGCGUUGUUCGGAAUUAUUGGGCGUAAAGGGCGCGUAGGCGGCUUGUUAAGUCGGCUGUGAAAGCCCGGGGCUCAACCCCGGAGGGUCAGCCGAUACUGGCAGGCUAGAGUACGGAAGAGGUAGCUGGAAUUCCCGGUGUAGCGGUGAAAUGCGUAGAUAUCAGGAGGAACACCGGUGGCGAAGGCGGGUCUCUGGGCCGAUACUGACGCUGAGGAGCGAAAGCGUGGGGAGCGAACAGG
rnacentral:rRNA from 1 species